GGAAAAAAAGAGAAAGCUGCUAACUAUCUCAAAGCAUUAAAUUGUUACUUUCCCCC
rnacentral:tRNA from 1 species